UUAUAAGAGACAGCAGUAGCCGCGGUAAUACGGAGGGAGCUAGCGUUGUUCGGAAUUACUGGGCGUAAAGCGCACGUAGGCGGUUAUUCAAGUCAGAGGUGAAAGCCCGGGGCUCAACCCCGGAACUGCCUUUGAAACUAGAUGACUAGAAUCUUGGAGAGGUCAGUGGAAUUCCGAGUGUAGAGGUGAAAUUCGUAGAUAUUCGGAAGAACACCAGUGGCGAAGGCGACUGACUGGACAAGUAUUGACGCUGAGGUGCGAAAGCGUGGGGAGCAAACAGGAUUAGAUACCCCCGUAGUCCCUGUCUCUUAUAC
rnacentral:rRNA from 1 species